rnacentral:lncRNA from 1 species
GUAAAACAGUGCUUGGUAGCCCGGUUGCCCACUGGAAUCAGCCAGGAGCCCUAAAACCCACCAAUGUCUGGGUCGGGUCUCCAGAGAUUCUGAUUUCAUCGGUCUGGGGCCAAUCCUAACCCAGAUCAAAGAUCCUGGGACAGCUGGAACAGGCAUGGCCUAAUGGAACUCCCAAGUGGACAGGGCCAGGCAUGGACGGACAGAGCUUCUGAAACAGUCCUCAGACCCCGUGCAUCUGGAUCUUUCUGUAGGAACCACCCAUCAGCAGUGCCAGACAGAACCAAGCACAUGCACUGAUCCACCGCACGAUGGGAGCUGGUGUGGGUGAGCUUGUUUGCUUUAGCCAUGCCCACAGACAGGAACAGAAGAGCACAGUGGAGGCCACCAGCCCUCUCGCCUGCUAUUUCAAAAGGGGUUGCAGCAGGGCUGGAAAGCGGUUCCCACUGUGGUUGCCCCCUUCCUCUCUGUGGCACACACAGACCUGAAAAUAACCAGAGAGGGACUGUGAGCUGCCAGCCUAAAACAGGAAGGCUGCAGAAAGUCCUAGGCUCAGAUAGGAGAGUUUAAAAGAAUGUUGAAACCAAGAACGGGCAUCACAGAUCCCACCUGUCUCUGCACCAAAGCAGACCUCCCCCUCUCUAAUCUACUGGUGGGGAGCCUGUGUGCUCUGUAGUCAUGCAGAUCCCAGCUUUACCACUUGCUGGCUGUGUGACUUAAGCAAGCUAUUUAACUUCUCUGAACCCCUAUUUCCUGAUUUGUAAGAUAAGCGCAGCAAUAUACAAAGUUUUAGUGUUGUGGUUCACAUGAAAAAAUUUAAUCCUGGCCAGGCCGGACGUGGUGCCUCACACCUGUAAUUCCAGCACUUUGGGAGGCCAAGGUGGGCAGAUCAUGAGGUCAGGAGUUCGAGACCAGCCUGACCAACAUGGUAAAACCACAUCUCUACUAAAAAUACAAAAAUUAGCCGGGCAUGGUGGUGCGUACCGGUAGUCCCAGCUACUCAGGAGGCUGAGGCAGGAGAAUCACUUGAACCCAGGAGGCGGAGGUUGCAGUGAACCGAGAUGGCACCACUGCACUCCAGCCUGGGCAAGAAGAACGAAACUCCCUCUCAAAAAAAAGAAAAGAAAAAGAAAAAAGAAAGAGAAGAAAGCAUACCUGCACAAUUCAGCCUGACCUGCCCUCACCCAGACAACAGAAGGAACAAUGAAGACUUUAGUUGUCUGAGCCAGAACACUUCUCAGAUAACUGUGCUGCUUACAAAUUGCUUUACAUACACAAUCUCCUCUGAAAUUCUCAACCCUGAAUGCUGGGAGACAUUGCCCCCAAUUUUCAGAUGAGUAGACUGAGGCUAACAGAGGUAAAGUGGCUUGUUCAAAACUGCACUACUAGUAACUGGCAGCUCCAGGGUGAGGUCUGGCUCCUGGCCCAGGACUCUCACUGAGCAAGGGCUCGGUCGGCCCACCCAGGACCAAAGACACUGCAGACCAUGGCAGCAGGCACUUGGUGUUCUGUAGUCUGUGAGGGGAGAGCAGAGAGCAGAACCUGGUGUGUGGGACACCCUCUCCUUCACCGGUGUUCCUGCAGGGACCCUCCGUCUCCUGUAAAGGGGGAAGCCCUAGGCUGACUCCCAGCAAGCAAGUCCUCUCUCACCUUUCACCUGAAGCGAUGAAGCAUCUUAAAGUUUGCCUAAAGCAGAAGUCUACAGGAGACCCACAGAAUAAAUAUGUAAGGUUAUUUUGAAACCAAAAGGGACUUGGUCAUCAUUGCUUCUCCUCCCUCACUUUUUAGAUAAGGAGCUAGGCCUCAAGAAGAGAAGUUGCUUGGUAAAGAUGGCACAGGCAGUGGUGACAGAGCUGGUCAAGAUCCCAGAUACCCUGACUCAAAGUGGUCUUUUUAAAUUCCCACCCUGCCCCCAACCUCCAGGUCUGGGCUGAUGUGUUGGGGCCAUUCUCAACUGUGAGAGUUUAAAACUAUGCACUUUAUUCUCUAUUCACCAUGUGAAUCCAUCUUUAGGGACAACGAUUAUUCUGAGAAGUGCAGUGGGGUAGGGCUGAACUGACCUGCAGACCCCUCCCUGGCCUCUGGCCCUGGAGCCAGCCCCUGGUUAAUCAAUAAUUACAGGAAGGUGCUUCUUAUUCUCUGAAACCUUCCCCUCCUGCUUUCUCAUCAGCCUGGGAGGAGGUUACGUGGGCAGACAGAGGUCUAAUAACAGAACUCAGUGUCUGGCCAGUGGCAUCCCUCAGAGUCAGGCCCCAGCCAGGGCCCACUGAGGGCCUCAGCCUGCCUGUGGAGACCCUCGCUUUCACAGUGGAGGAAUGCAGCAUCCCUGGCUCCGGCAGCAUGACAGUCUGGCUCCCCAUUGCCUCACCAGCCAAAGAAGAUUUGAAAAUUCCAGAUGUACCCCAGGAACCAAAAAACCCUCUGGGUUUAGGUGACAACUGAUGUAGCCAAC